AACCCCAAGGUUUAAGGAACCUGCUGGAAAAUGUUACUGACUUUCCUCCAUUAGCAUGGUUGGAAGCAGGGGUUGAAGCUGGUAUCUAUAGGCUGGGAUUCCUUGGUAUGUGCCUGAUGUAGCUCCUUAGAAGUUGGAAGAAGUGGAUAGCUUAGCAGGCCCACUCUUUGAAGAAUUGGUUGUUGUUGGGGCACAGAGCCUUCACUGGUUUGUAAAAGCUUUUGGAAUUGCUUCCUGGAGCUUUGUGUAGUACAUGGGUACACAAGUGAUGUCAUCAUUGUUAUGUGACAGAGUCAGGGCUGCCUCCAUUGGUCACCUUUGGAAGAUUCUAGCCCUCUAUGGACUGCCUGUUGUUAAUCAAAAUGGGUCUGGACACUGUGGGUUCAUUAUGUCUCUCACCUUCCUUGUCCACAUUGAUGGAGAAGCUAAAACAGAUAAGGAGCCAGCCCAGAUAUGUCUGUGGAAAACCAUAUCAACUCUAUCUACUCCUGAGAAAGCAUCCACUCAGCUAAGACAGGUGUGCCCAUGCUAAGGCCAGUACACUGCCUCCUGGGUAAAGUUAAAACUGAGUGUGCUCCAGGGCUUAUGAAUGAGGGGUGCUCUGGCAUGUGGGGAAAGCAUUUCCCAAAUGAUGGUCCUGCUUUUUCCAUCUCAUAUUUCAAGGAAAGUCCAUGUGCUUGAUUGCUUUCCUGUCUAAAUCCUAGAGAAUUCCUAGCCCUUCUAAAGACAACAGAACAGUGGGGGGCCUAGAGAUCCCUAAGGGAUUCACAGAAUGGGCAUGAGCUCUGGAGUCCACUUAGACUGGAGCCCAGCUUUGCCAUGUAAGUCUAAAUCACACUUAGACUUGUAGCUUUCUGACUUGGUAGUAGGCCUGUUAAAAGGCAAACUUGCUAAUACUUCUGGUACCCUCCUUUACUCUCUGGACAAGAGGAAACAGUGGAGUAUGAGGAGCCAAAGCAUGGUGGCCACCUGCUCUGGCCAGAGGGGCCCCGUGUGCGCUACCUACAGGAGAGCCCUCACCUCAGUGUCAUAAGCAAGUGCUGGUGAGUCAAAGCCAAGACUGUAGCCCAGAGGAGACUUGGUGACUGUCAGGGCCAGGCAGACAGCCCACAUUGCCUGUGCCUGUUCACAUCCUACAUGUAUACCUGUUGCUGUGACCCCUCACCUGCACUCAGCUGUUCUCAAAGCUACUUUGGUGUUGUAGUAGCACUGUUAGACUCUUGCUGUCUGGGCUGAGGUUCUUGUUCAUGGUCCCUGCCUCCUUUACUGCCUUUUCUGUGUAACACUACUGGUUAACUGGACAGGAAGCCAGAAUGGUCUAUUUUACCAAUCUAGGCCUUGCCCCAACUGUAGACAGCUCCCAUGUUGACCGGUCACUUUUUCUCACACCCACUUUUUAUCAUCCCCUUCUGCCUCCCAGGACAGUCGUCAUAGUUUCCUUCAAUCUUACAGAUUUUUUUUUUAACCUUCUUUGAGUGACUCGGACUUUCUCACAGGGUCCAUGAUGGCCAUAAAGGUCCUUUCUCGGGGAGAUGAGGAGUGUUGGGGGAUCCACCUUUUUGCCUCAAAGCCCUAUACCCUGAGGCCAGCCCAAGGCUAGCAUGGACCUAAAUGGGGAAUUGGGUAGACAGUGUGUGAGGCAACUGCUGUGAACAGUGUCUUCUGAGAGCACCUACCCAGAGCCAGGCCCAGCGAGCCAGGCAACACAGUUCUGAAUCAGUCUGCUGCCAGAGGUUUUGAAAGACUACACUAUUCUGAUUUAGAGCAUUCUAAUUAUGUAUUUCCAUUAACAUUAAAAUUAAUUUAGUCUCUUUUAUCUUAAAGUGCCUGAGGGAUCCUGUCAUUAGCUGCCCUGCCUCUUAGGUAACAGUAGCCAAUCAGGUCUUCAGUGCCACAGGCAAAUCUAUGUGGAAAGCAGCCCUUUAGGAAAGUUAUCCAUGACUGUGACAAUCACUGUUGCUGUGAGGUGCUGGGUCUCAUGUGUUCACACUCUCUAACCCCUGCCUCUCCUACAGCAGGACCCCCGUGAGAGGAAUGGCAGAGGCUUUGCUGUGAGUGGGGAGGAAAGCUCUGUGGAGUGGUGAUUCUUACCAGACCAUGAUUCCAUUUUUCUCACAGGGAAGACAGUGACUUGGGUUUUUUUUUUCUCUGCUACCAUGUAAUCAGCAACAGAACUCUAAGUGUACAUGUCUACUUCAGCCUUAAUUAGGAAAUCACCUGUUCGGCCUUGGCAUGGCCUUAAUAUUUGCUCUUAUGUUCCUUAGGAGUGAGGGGUGGGGUUCUGGCACAGUGCUAUCUACUGAAGAGGAUGGUGCCACCACUGAGCCCAGCUUGAUGCCAGGCUGCCUGAAGAGCAGAUGAACUUGGCUGAGAGACACCCAACAGCCUGGUUGAAUAGCUAAGUAGCAACACAGGAACUAACCUCUGCUGCCCAGUUAGCUGCUCCCCCAGGCACUGCCACCUGCUCAUUAUAAAGCUGUGAGCUCUGUCCCAGGCUGUCUUAUACAGCAUAGAAGCCUGGCUGCUCUCGGCAGGACAUAGAUUCCUGUCCUGCCCCAGACCUGACAUGAGUGCUGCAGUCCCAGCUUGAAACCUGGAGGAGGAAACUUUGAGCCCCAAGACUUUUCCUUUGGCUGAUGUAGGAAUGCAGGAGGCCUUGCUGGGCUGACAUGCACAUGUGUAAAAAGUCAAAGAUGAAGCUAGUGAGAGCCCUUUCCAAGGUACUUGGGCAGAGGCUGUGGGACCAUCCUUGAGAUACAUCACAGAUACGAUGCAACAAUCAAUGAAUCAAUGAUUGGUGUCAAGAGGAUAAGUCCAAUGACAUAGGCUUCCUCAAAGUUUAGGACUUGGCUCAGAUAUUCCCUUCAUGUCACUCAUCACCUGAUGAAUGGCUUUCCUUUUUCUAAUCUGUAACCAGGAACUUCAGACAGGUAACCGUACUUUCAAGCAUUCUGUGACACCAUGAUUAUUGAGAUGCUUUCAAAAUACAAGUAACAGGAAGCACAUCAGAUAGCCUUCAGGAAAAUUGGCUAAAAUGGACUUGGGCCAGACCUGAUUUCAGUCACAGCUUUGGCCUUCCCAGCUGUGCAACUUGGGGAGGGGGGGAUCACUUUCCUCCCUCUGAGCUCAGUUUUGAGCCCAGUUUUAAGUAAGAAUAGUGAUCCUGAACCCUGUAAAUAAGGGUGAAAUGGUGUAAUGAAGUAAGGUGUCUAUCAGUCCUGACAUGAUAGAUAUUUGUUCUUCCUACAAAUGUUCAGGAACUGCAUCUGUUUUAUUAGGAACUAUUCUUAUCAAUCAUUUAUCUGCCAGCCAUGUCAGGGCACUGGGCAACUGAUAAAAGCCUGGUGCCUCACCCAGACCUA